rnacentral:rRNA from 1 species
GAGUUUGAUCAUGGCUCAGAUUGAACGCUGGCGGCAUGCCUUACACAUGCAAGUCGAACGGCAGCAUGAUCUAGCUUGCUAGAUUGAUGGCGAGUGGCGAACGGGUGAGUAAUACAUCGGAACGUGCCCUGUAGUGGGGGAUAACUAGUCGAAAGAUUAGCUAAUACCGCAUGCGACCUGAGGGUGAAAGUGGGGGACCGCAAGGCCUCAUGCUAUAGGAGCGGCCGAUGUCUGAUUAGCUAGUUGGUGGGGUAAAGGCCCACCAAGGCGACGAUCAGUGGCUGGUCUGAGAGGACGAUCAGCCACACUGGGACUGAGACACGGCCCAGACUCCUACGGGAGGCAGCAGUGGGGAAUUUUGGACAAUGGGCGAAAGCCUGAUCCAGCAAUGCCGCGUGUGUGAAGAGGCC